UACGGAGGGUGCAAGCGUUAAUCGGAAUUACUGGGCGUAAAGCGCACGCAGGCGGUUAAUUAAGUUAGAUGUGAAAUCCCCGGGCUUAACCUGGGAAUGGCAUCUAAAACUGGUUAGCUAGAGUCUUGUAGAGGGGGGUAGAAUUCCAUGUGUAGCGGUGAAAUGCGUAGAGAUGUGGAGGAAUACCGGUGGCGAAGGCGGCCCCCUGGACAAAGACUGACGCUCAGGUGCGAAAGCGUGGGGAGCAAAC
rnacentral:rRNA from 1 species